CACGUAGGGGGCAAGCGUUGUCCGGAAUCAUUGGGCGUAAAGAGCUCGUAGGCGGCUCAGUAAGUCGGGUGUGAAACCUCCAGGCUCAACCUGGAGACGCCACCCGAUACUGCUGUGGCUAGAGUCCAGUAGGGGAGUGUGGAAUUCCCGGUGUAGCGGUGAAAUGCGCAGAUAUCGGGAGGAACACCAGCGGCGAAGGCGGCACUCUGGGCUGGUACUGACGCUGAGGAGCGAAAGCGUGGGUAUCAAACAGG
rnacentral:rRNA from 1 species